rnacentral:rRNA from 1 species
AGAGUUUGAUCCUGGCUCAGAACGAACGCUGGCGGCGCGUUUUAAGCAUGCAAGUCGAACGGGAGAUUCAUGAAUGAAACCUAGUGAUUUCAUGAGUCUUUAGUGGCAAACGGGUGAGUAACACGUAGGUAAUUUGCCCUGAAGUUCGGGAUAGCCCAUGGAAACAUGGAUUAAUACCGGGUGUGGUGCUGAUUUCACAAGAAGACAGCAUUAAAGGUGGGGAUCGCAAGACCUGCCGCUUCAGGAGAAGCCUGCGGCCCAUUAGCUUGUUGGUGGGGUAACGGCCUACCAAGGCUGCGAUGGGUAGCCGGCCUGAGAGGGUGAUCGGCCACAUUGGGACUGAGACACGGCCCAGACUCCUACGGGAGGCAGCAGCUAAGAAUCUUCCGCAAUGGACGAAAGUCUGACGGAGCGACGCCGCGUGAGCGAUGAAGGUGCUCUGCAUUGUAAAGCUCUUUCGGGAAGGAAGAAUAAGGGUCCAUGAAUAGUGGAUCUGAUGACGACCCUUCCUAAAGAAGCCCCGGCUAACUACGUGCCAGCAGCCGCGGCAAUACGUAGGGGGCAAGCGUUGUUCGGAAUUACUGGGCGUAAAGGGCAUGUAGGCGGGAAAGUAAGUUGGGGGUGAAAUCUACGGGCUCAACCUGUAAACUGCCUUCAAAACUGCUUUUCUUGAAUGUGGGAGGGGAGAUCGGAAUUCCUAGUGUAGGAGUGAAAUCUGUAGAUAUUAGGAAGAACACCGAUGGCGAAGGCAGAUCUCUGGCCUGACAUUGACGCUGAUAUGCGAAAGCGUGGGGAGCGAACAGGAUUAGAUACCCUGGUAGUCCACGCCCUAAACGUUGCACACUAGAUGUAAGGGGUAUCAAUUCCCCUUGUGUCGUAGCUAACGCAUUAAGUGUGCCGCCUGGGGAGUAUGCUCGCAAGGGUGAAACUCAAAGGAAUUGAC